UCGACUAUGGAGAUAAGAAAAUGAGAUAAAUCGUUGGGAACAUAUCAGUCCAAAAUCUAGAAUUUUCAAACGGGGACCUAUCAAGUGUCAACAAACCAGGCGUACCUGCACGUGAUUCAGCACCGGGGGAAUUUGAUGGAUUCGCACCUUGUGUGGUCGCCAUCGGUGAUGCGAGAUCGUUCACCACUUCGGACAUAGCCGGAAAAGAGUUACGCGAUUUUUGACUUCUCCGGAAAAGCUAAAGCGUUAUGUCGAAUAACACCACUUGUUCCUGCCAAAGAUCAGGGGCUGGCACCUUCCAUAUAUAUCGUGUGUAAGAGAGAGAAUUUUCAAAUCUGCGGGUGAAUGCAGCCAAAGUUUUUUUUUUUAUUGGUCUUACUCUAUUCCUAUUCUAACUCUAAGAUUUUGCCUUAACUCAUUGUAGGGCGUGGGAAUCGAAACCCACUUUUAAAAUUAAAUCGUUCACAUCCCAAUCCUCUAAAAAUGUGGGAAUUCGAACCUCCACCUCCUCAUUCCAAGUUGGAAGGGUGGCCACUGGGGUAAACCCCAGUGGUUGAAUGCAGCCAAAGUUGGAACGCCAAGGAAAACAUAAACAAUUGUCAUAUUGACAAAAGAAUAUAAACGGGCACAAGCCCCUGAUAACAUUCUUAGAUGAAAGAUGCAAGUAAAUGCCCCCGAUAUCAUUCUUAGACAAAAGAUGCAAGUUAAGAAUAUUGUAAAAAAAAAAAGAGAUAGAGAAUUGUGAAGUGCCAAACACCCAAGUGCCAAAACUUGACACGGAUGAAUAUAUAAGUGUCAAAACUUACAAAGGUGCAAGAAUUUUCCUAAUGCGUGCUACACUAAUUGAUAUUGUAAUUUAUCGUUUUGCGGGUUAGUCUAUGGUGAGAUAAAAAUUUAUUAAUUAGUUUAAUAUGGGGCUGGUUAGUAUGGGCCGGAUUGAGUCCGACCCGUAAUAAGAGAGUUUAGCUGAAAACUCUAUAAAUAGAAGAAGAAGAUGAAGAUGAAGAAGAAGAAGCAGAAGAUGAGGUUGUGUGAGGUUGACCUUGCCUAGAUUUGGUCAGGUUGAGCAUCACUGAAGGCCAGAAGAAGAAGAUUAAAAUGUAAUAAAAUUAUUAAAAAGUUAGAUGGUUGAUACCCUAAAAAAACUUCAAACUGGUACUCAUAUGACAAAUUUGUCAAAAACUAAUUUUCUUACCACCAAAAACCCAAAACUAAUAUAUUUUUUUUAUAACUUAACUAAAAACUGAUACACUUGUAAUAAAUUCACCUUUGCUAGUUUCCAUUAAAUUUUACUAUUAAAUUGUUAAGUUUGAUGGCACGUGAUAAUUGACUAGUAUACUAGUUUGGGAUUAUACUAUUUGUAUAUUACAGUUAUACAAUUUUUGUGAUUUUGUUAUGAUAUUAAUCUAAGUAAAAGAACAUCUUAAGUGCCAAAAUUUGGUACAAUGAGAUACUUAAGUCACUUUUUAUGAAAAAUGGGAAACUUAAAUGUUACAUUCAGCGAAUCCCACUGGAAUUCAUACAUGGUAAUUCAUAGGCAAUGAAAGGAUGAGUAAUGGUAAGAUAUACAAGAAUGCCAACCAACUGUCAAUAAAGUGUAGGAUUCGAAAGGGCAGUUCUAUCAUUUGCAUCAAAUUUAGCAUUUGCCUCAAUUGGAGUUAUAGCAAUCUUGGUGUCAAUAAGUCUUGUGCGAUAAAGAAAAUAAACAGUGCAUUUUGCUUAAGAAAUAUAAUAGCCUAUGGAGUCUAAGGCAACCUCCACUCCUAGAAAAUAACUAAGUUGUGCCGCGACCUACCAUUCAAGAAAUAAGUUUAGGGGUAUUGCCUAAAGGACAGGCCUAUAGCCUAUGAUUAGGCAUGAGCUAGUCCAUAACUCACGUGAAAUUGUGGUAUUUUAAUAAUUUCACAAUAAGGAGCCGCCAUUAGCUUAUUGGGAUCGGUUAGAAACCAAGUGAGGUAUUGAGAGUGUACCUCACUUCCUAUGCAACCAAAGAAUGUAGGAUCGGGGAUUUGAUUACACUAAUUGACUAAUUAGUACUCUUUCGGUACCUAAUUUUGUUCAUUUUAAAGAAAAAUAUUUUUGUUAAGCAGUUUAAAUUAAUUUUAGGCAUAUCUAUUAACAUGUAAAGUAAUCGUGCGCGUGCGCAAUAAUUAAAAAAAAACAAUUAGCAGCAAAUGAAAGCGUUUAAAUAAAUUGCAUGGAAUAGCAAAUAUUUAACAUUAAGGAAAAGAUAAAUACUAAUAUUAACUAGAUUAAAAGGAUCAAAAUAGCAAAAGUAUGCAAACAAGAGUAAUUAUCUUUGAGAACAAUUGUAAUCCUAAGGUAAAGCCCUAAAUGUUUACUCAAUUUUUAGCACAACUAUAGAGCUAAGAAACUUCUAAUUUUUGAGAAAACAACUCAUGAAGUCUUUUUUUGUAAAAAUUUUCAAAAGAAAAUUUGAAUUUCCUGACUUUUUUAUUUUUUAUUUAAAUUUUCUAAUUUUUUAUUUUUAUAAAAAAACUCGAAUUUUCAAUAUUUUCUGAAUUUUUUUUGAAUUUUUUUAAUGUUUUCUGAAAGUUGUUGAACUUUCGGAAAAGUUUUUGAAUUUAUAUAUAUUUUAUUUUUUUAAUAUUUUUAAUUUUUAAUUUAUUUUUUCUUUUGUCCUUUCCCUAUUUUGUCCUAUUCACUGCACUCUUGUUGGCCAGCCACCCCCGGUAGUGUGCCACUACUGAGGCCCUGUCAUUUCCCUGAACCCUGCCUAAUAUGCUAAGAGAAGGACUUCACGGGGAUUAAGGUUAGGUCCCUAACCCUUUCGGGCUUGGCCGAGAUACCUAAUGAGAUUGUUAUCCCAUACUACUCUCCCCCUCACUUGCCUAUAAAUGGCUUGUGAGGAGGAGUCCCCGGAAUUGUCUAUUCAAGGGGGAGCAGUUUUUAAAGACCUACUCUGGUCUCUCCUUUACUCUACUCUAGCCGAGAAAAUAUUAAGUGAUUUCAAAGCAUCACGUCAAUUGCUGACGUGGCAUGCAUUUUACACGUUUUGGAGGUGGAAUAAAAAAUGAAAUUCUUUUUUUUUCAACUUCCUGCAUCGCCCCCUCUUCUCCUCUCCUCUGCAAAUCGUUUCUCGGCCAUGGAUGGCACGGCCUCCUCCUCCUUCCGGCCACCGCCUGCCCGCCACUUGAGAAUCCCGUUCGGCUGUCUCCACCGCACAAGCCAGAGGGGAAUUGGAACAGUCAUGGAGUCUCUCUCUCUAGUGUCUCCUUCCAUUGUCCUCCCUUAAAGUUCCCUUCCGUGAAGCCCAGCCAUGACAGAUCUGGAGCCAUGGCAGGAUCUAGAUCUGGAACCGUGGAGCCAUGGCCGCGUUCUUGACAGAACUUGAAGCCAUGGCCGCACAACAGACCUUAGAGCCAGAUCUGUCGCGGUUAUGGCUUCACAGACGAGGCCAUCCCUCGCCUCGUCAAGACUUGUUCCAUCAUUUUUUAAGGCUCAGCCAUGAUGGCUCGACCGAGAUCUGGAGGAGGAGUUGCUUGGCCAUGGCUCGGUCGAGAUCUGGAGAAGGUUUAGCGCUCAGCUUUUCUGAAGCUCAGUGAUGACUGGAGGAGGGAGUAGCCGAGAUCUAAAGGUUGGCCAGGUCUGUUGCGGCCAUGGCUUCGCGGUUCCAGAUCUGGAUGCGGCCAAGUGACAUCAGAAGGGGCGGAGAUGGUGGCCGGACGGGUGUUCUCUGUCAGGGAGGAAGAUGAACAGAGAAAAAAAGAUUUUUAUUUUUUUUAUUUCACCUUAUCCAACACCAACACGUGUCGAUCUACUAUUGGAUAUCAAUAAAAAAAAGCGCAUCACGUCAGUAAUUAACGUGGCGCUUUGGAAUCAUUGAAUAUUUUCUCCCUCCAGCGACUCCUCUUCCCGAAGCCACUUUCUCUCUUUUUUUUUUUUUAUUAUUAUUAUUUUUUUUCUUUUGCCUUUUGGUCUUCUUCUUCGUGCGUUCUCUGCACGCCCGAUGCUCCUUAUUCCCGAAGACCCCUUCACCGCACCAACACCUUCGACCGAGAUUUGCUGCCGCCGGCCCCUCUGUCUCUCCCAAGCGCCUCCUUCACACCGCCCUCACUCCUUGCGAGAGUCGCGAUCCGCCACCAUCCAUCGCCCGAACGGAGGACACAAAACACACCACGUACGCGCAAGCGACCGUGACGAAGGAAAGAAGCGAGGAAUAGCGAUAGUAACGUAUAAAAGCCAACAGAAUAUGAACGAAGGGAUCUACCAUUUCAGGGAGACGAACGUGACUUGCAUGGGUAUCACAGAGACAUUUCAUUGAACAACACCGACCGGGCCGGAGGCAAACGAUAACUCGACAUGACCUCAAGACAAACAAGCAGGGUCCAGAGGCAACGACGCGCAGUACCGACUGAGAUAAACAUAGACAAACAAGCAGGGUCCAGAGGCAACGACGCGCAGCACCGCCGGGGUCGGGACUCGAGCGGACGGAAGAACUGCGAGCCCCCGAUCCGACGAGCUCAAGAACAGGGUAACAUGGAGCGCGCCAAUGCGCUUGGGUGACGGGCCCUACUCGGCUCGACGGGGCGGCGGCCAGCAGGGCGGACCCGAGACGGAUCGAGCCGUGGCCGGCCGCCCUGGCGUCGUCGAGACGAGAUCCUCGGGUCAAAGGGGUGCUGAACUCUAGAAACAAAAAAUAAAAAAGAAAAAAGAAAAAGACUUACCGGAAAUAUGGACGUCGGGAAGCCGGGUCUCAAGCGCGGCCAAGCUUCUCUCUUGCUUUCCACUCUCGAUUUCUCUCUGCCUUCCCCCAAUCUCCCCCUCGGUUCCUCCUGUCCGCCGUUCCUGCUGCCCCCUUCCUUUC
rnacentral:lncRNA from 1 species